GGCUCAGGACGAACGCUGGCGGCGUGCCUAAUACAUGCAAGUCGAGCGAAUCUUGAGGGGCUUGCCCCUUGAGAUUAGCGGCGGACGGGUGAGCAACACGUGGGCAACCUGCCUGUAAGACUGGGAUAACACCGGGAAACCGGUGCUAAUACCGGAUAAUUCUUCACCCCGCGUGGGGUGAAGCUGAAAGUCGGUUUCGGCUGACACUUACAGAUGGGCCCGCGGCGCAUUAGCUAGUUGGUGAGGUAACGGCUCACCAAGGCGACGAUGCGUAGCCGACCUGAGAGGGUGAUCGGCCACACUGGGACUGAGACACGGCCCAGACUCCUACGGGAGGCAGCAGUAGGGAAUCUUCCGCAAUGGACGAAAGUCUGACGGAGCAACGCCGCGUGAGUGAUGAAGGCCUUCGGGUCGUAAAACUCUGUUGUUAGGGAAGAACAAGUAUCGGAGUAACUGUCGGUACCUUGACGGUACCUAACCAGAAAGCCACGGCUAACUACGUGCCAGCAGCCGCGGUAAUACGUAGGUGGCAAGCGUUGUCCGGAAUUAUUGGGCGUAAAGCGCGCGCAGGCGGUCCUUUAAGUCUGAUGUGAAAGCCCACGGCUCAACCGUGGAGGGUCAUUGGAAACUGGGGGACUUGAGUGCAGAAGAGGAAAGCGGAAUUCCACGUGUAGCGGUGAAAUGCGUAGAGAUGUGGAGGAACACCAGUGGCGAAGGCG
rnacentral:rRNA from 1 species